AAUAGUUUUUGGUCUGUGAUGUGAUCAAAAUCAGCUGUGAACAUCAGCAUGGCCGUUCCGUUAUCCACAAAAUAAAAUUGUUUUUGAUAAAAAAUCAUACAAUAAAAAACAGAAAAGUGCAGUCAAAGUCGAGAAACCGUGUAAAAUAUUCCGUUGCAUCUUCGCGAGCUAUCGGUGUUGAUGUUGACUAAAAGUGUUGCGUCAUGACAGAAUAGCCUCUCACUGACAAAUAAAUACAAUAAAAAGUGCUCACGAGAGAUUACGGCAAAGGAGCAUUUCCAUUUCGCUCGUAUAACGCGUCUGUCGAGUAUUUCGCUAAUGUGAAAAAGUGCGCCACGAUCGUAAGAAUGAGCAGCGUCCGCUUAAGCAUUGUGUCGUUCGGGAGGAUCGCUGUGAAGAGAAAUUCGCAGUUGACAUCAGGUGCCCACCCGUGCCGCACGCUGCGCCGCACGCUGCCGCGCCCGCUGAGCACCUGCGCGGUGCUGUGCAAGAGCCCCACGGAGCAGCCGCCCGGCCCGCCGCACUCCUCCAAAGAUGCACCAGGAACAGGUUCGUCGUCGAGCGGCAAGAAGGGCGGCAGCGGCGUGCUCACGUGCCCCAAGUGCGGCGACCCGUGCACGCACGUGGAGACGUUCGUGAGCUCCACGCGCUUCGUCAAGUGCGACAAGUGCCACCACUUCUUCGUCGUGCUCAGCGAGGUCGACACCAAGAAGAGCAUCAAGGACAACGCCGACAACAAGUCCGGCUUCUACAGAAAGCCGCCGCCGCCGCCGAAGAAGAUCUUCGAGUACCUCAACAAACACGUGGUGGGGCAGGAGUACGCCAAGAAGGUGCUGUCGGUGGCCGUGUACAACCACUACAAGCGCAUCUACAACAACGUGACCGGCGCCGCCGGCGACCAGCACCACCCGCUGCACCACACGCACAGAGAUCUACUACACUUGAGCCACAACACCAGCAGCGGCGGCGGCGUGGCGGGCGGCGGCGCCGAGGUGCUGGAGAGGAACCACCACGAGCUGCGCCUCGACAAGAGCAACGUGCUGCUGCUGGGACCCACCGGCAGCGGUAAGACGCUGCUGGCGCAGACGAUCGCGCAGUGCCUGGACGUGCCGUUCGCGAUCUGCGACUGCACCACGCUGACGCAGGCCGGCUACGUGGGCGAGGACAUCGAGAGCGUCAUCGCCAAGCUGCUGCAGGAUGCCAACUUUAAUGUGGAACGCGCACAGACUGGCAUCGUUUUUCUGGACGAAGUGGACAAAAUCGGCGCUGUGCCUGGAAUACAUCAACUGAGAGAUGUUGGAGGCGAGGGCGUGCAGCAGGGCAUGCUGAAGAUGCUGGAGGGCGCGGUGGUGUCGGUGCCGGAGCGCAACUCGCGCAAGCUGCGUGGCGACGCUGUGCAGGUCGACACCACCAACAUCCUGUUCGUGGCCAGCGGCGCCUACAACGGGCUCGACAGGCUAAUCCAGCGGCGCAACAACGAGAAGUACCUCGGGUUCGGCGCGUGGGACCCCAAGUCGGGGCGGCGCGCGGCGCUGGCGGCGGCGGCGGCGGACGCGUCCCCGCUGGACAGCGCCAGCGCCGAGGCCGACGAGCGCGACCACUGGCUGCGCGCCGUGCAGGCCCGGGACCUCAUCGACUUCGGCAUGAUACCGGAAUUUGUGGGCCGCUUCCCCGUGCUGGUGCCGUUCCACAGCCUCAACCAGGACCUGCUGGUGCGGAUACUCACUGAACCCAAGAACGCUCUCAUGGCUCAAUACAAGCUGCUGUUCGCGAUGGACAAGUGCGAGCUGUCGUUCAGCGACGAGGCGCUGCAGGCGGUGGCGUCGCUCGCCAUGGAGAGGAAGACCGGCGCGAGAGGGUUGAGGGCUAUUAUGGAGAACCUGCUGCUGGAAGUGAUGUUCGAGAUCCCCGGCUCCGACAUCACGUGCGUGCACAUCCACGAGGGCUGCGUGUCGCGCAGCGAGGCGCCCAGCGUGCGGCGCCGCGCGCACGAGCGCGAGCAGGAGGAGCAGCACUGGCCCUCGGUGCGCCUCACCAACUGAACCGUUAGAAACCGCCGCCGUGUGGCCGCGCACUAACGGGUGUUCGAUAUGACACAGCGAUCUCAAGUCAGAACCGGAGCCGUCAGUCAG
rnacentral:misc_RNA from 1 species